GCCACCUUCUAACUUUUUUGAUUUAACAUUUAGUUAUUUAUGUACAGGAUUGUGUGUAAAUUAUUUUAUCUAUUUUUUGUCUUUCAUCAUUUAGUUCCAUCAUAUCUGCCAUUUGAUAGAAUCUUCGAUGAUAGAAUCAAGAUCUUUCCUUUAGCAUUAUUUUAUUACUGCUGGAAAUUAGCCAGAUCAAGACGGCAAGUGAGCUAAUAUGAUC
rnacentral:lncRNA from 1 species